AGAGUUUGAUCCUGGCUCAGGAUGAACGCUGGCGGCGUGCCUAACACAUGCAAGUCGAGCGAUUCUCUUCGGAGAAGAGCGGCGGACGGGUGAGUAACGCGUGGGUAACCUGCCCUGUACACACGGAUAACAUACCGAAAGGUAUGCUAAUACGAGAUAAUAUGCUUUUAUCGCAUGGUAGAAGUAUCAAAGUUUUUGCGGUACAGGAUGGACCCGCGUCUGAUUAGCUAGUUGGUAAGGUAACGGCUUACCAAGGCGACGAUCAGUAGCCGACCUGAGAGGGUGAUCGGCCACAUUGGAACUGAGACACGGUCCAAACUCCUACGGGAGGCAGCAGUGGGGAAUAUUGCACAAUGGGCGAAAGCCUGAUGCAGCAACGCCGCGUGAGCGAUGAAGGCCUUCGGGUCGUAAAGCUCUGUCCUCAAGGAAGAUAAUGACGGUACUUGAGGAGGAAGCCCCGGCUAACUACGUGCCAGCAGCCGCGGUAAUACGUAGGGGGCUAGCGUUAUCCGGAAUUACUGGGCGUAAAGGGUGCGUAGGUGGUUUCUUAAGUCAGAGGUGAAAGGCUACGGCUCAACCGUAGUAAGCCUUUGAAACUGGGAAACUUGAGUGCAGGAGAGGAGAGUGGAAUUCCUAGUGUAGCGGUGAAAUGCGUAGAUAUUAGGAGGAACACCAGUUGCGAAGGCGGCUCUCUGGACUGUAACUGACACUGAGGCACGAAAGCGUGGGGAGCAAACAGGAUUAGAUACCCUGGUAGUCCACGCCGUAAACGAUGAGUACUAGCUGUCGGAGGUUACCCCCUUCGGUGGCGCAGCUAACGCAUUAAGUACUCCGCCUGGGAAGUACGCUCGCAAGAGUGAAAC
rnacentral:rRNA from 1 species